CAGGUGARCCCCCCGRGVGGGUUCCCAUUAAACAUACAUGGUCGUCGGCCACUCCCGGGGCAGGCUGGGACCAUCGUUUCGACGAUGGUCCCCGUCCGCCCCCGGCGGGUGCUCAGCCGUCGCUCUUUACCUUGACUAUGCGCACCUUUUGUUGUUUCCUCGGCAGGCCUCCUGCCGCUUGGAACCCCAUAAACCUUUGUAUAAGCAUUAAACUUCUGAAACAAUACAAAAUUACUUACAACUUUCAACAAUGGAUCUCUUGGUUCUGGCAUCGAUGAAGAACGCAGCCAAAUGCGAUAAGUAGUGUGAAUUGCAGAAUUCAGUKAAUCAUCGAAUCUUUGAACGCACAUUGCGCCCCUUGGUAUUCCAUGGGGCAUGCCUGUUCGAGCGUCAUCUAAACCCUCAAGCCUUCUGGGUAUUGUACCGCCUCCGCGCGGCACUCUGCCCGGCUUGGUGUUGGGCGUCUGUCCCGCCUCGCGUGCGGACUCGCCCCAAAUGCAUUGGCAGCGGCCUUCCAGCUUCUCGCGCAGCACAUUGCGUCCCGAGGUAUGGCGAGGGCGAGCGUCCAGCAAGCAACCCCACAAUUUGACCUCGGA
rnacentral:rRNA from 1 species